CUUAUUUCUCACAUCAUCACCUUUUGGGCAGUACCCGUUGUCCAUGCAUCUCAGAUUCCUGCCCACAGAUGGGCUAAGGAAGAACUCUGAGAAAUGUCUCAGAAAAAGGCUGCUGGCCAGAUUUGACCUGCGAUUUGCUGACUACUGGCUUAUACUCCAUUAGACAUUCACCAGAUCUGAGAUGAGCACCUCUCAGAGGAAGAAGUAAACACUGGACGGAUCCAUCUUUGGCUAAUGUGGUGGCUGAAAUAAUUAGAUGCUUCUUCCUGGAUGGUGAUUCUUUAACCUAUUGAAUUUCCAAAUAAGAUCCAUAACAUCUCUUGUGAAUGUGUGAGGAAAUAAAGUAGUUAUUCUUACUAAUGAAA